rnacentral:rRNA from 1 species
GGAUCAGUGGGUCGGUCGUGCCACUGGUAUGUACUGGCCCUACUGGUUCCUCCUUCUUGAGGAACUGUGAUGCCAUUAAUUUGGUGUUGCAGGGAAACAGGACUGUUACUUUGAAAAAAUUAGAGUGUUUAAAGCAGGCAAUCGCUUGAAUACAUUAGCAUGGAAUAAUAGAAUAAGACUUUGGUUUUAUUUUGUUGGUUAUAAAGCUAAAGUA